UCCCGCGCCCACCACACUGAAACGCACCCUCCCUCAAAGUGGUACAGUCCGACAACGGACGGUGUAGUUGUCGAGAAAUAGUAGGAACUGCCGAUGAUGGGUUGUUAUCGUUUCUUAGCAACAGAGAACAUGGCGGACGGAGGGAGGAUGUGUAUAUCACUGUCUAGGCCAGCAUUUAUUGGCCAACUACAGACUCCUGCAAGCGGUUAACUUAUUUGCUGGAGAUCUGGAAUCACAUAUAGACCAGACCAGCACUGCAGGAUAUCUCAGAGUUUGGACUGGAAUGUGCAAAACGCUGGACUUUCUCCUUAUGGAAUAUCGCCAAGUCAGUUCCACACUGCCUCAUUACCUCAUACUACAAAAGAAAUCUGUAUUGCAUACAACUUAAAAACAAUAAGGAUGUGGGACAUGAAAGGAAAUAGAUGAGGAGGCAUGGAGAAAUUUAUCUGCAUUUUAAAGUGUUGGCAAACUUUGUGUCAAAAUGAGCAUUUCCGUUUGUUAUAUGGGAACUAAUGGUUGAAAUCCAUUUUGAUUCAUAGAUGUUUUGCAUGCACCUCUUACCAAAAUCAUCACAUAUUUCAAUCCCUUUUUGUGAAAUUCUUCCACCAUCUGUGGGUAAUCUUCAAAGUACUCUAAGUUGUAGGUGAAGUCCUUUUUCUGGUCCAUGUAAUCCAGAUCAUUCCACUGCACAUCCUGCAGAAGGGUACAUCAUUAGAAAAAAAAAUACUUCUGUGUCAUGCUGGUAAUCAGCAGAGCUUGCAACAGCCAAAUCUUGUGAUCUGCAUUUUCGGACUGCUUCAAUAUCUGAAUCACGAACGGUGAUGAACAUCAUUUGCUGAUGAUUGCAUUUCGGCACGUCUGACCUUGCAGAGAAAUCUUGGCCCACCUCGUUCCCAAGCACUAGGUUUAAGCAGUUCUCACUUUCUCAUUAGACUGGGCACAUACUACAGAAAAAUCUCCUGAACACAAACCGGAAAACCCCUCGCUGCACUUUUCACGAUCACAAUCUCAGUACAUACAUGGUUAAUUAAAGUGACCUAUUAUAAAUACUUUGUUUGCAUUUCUCUGCAUUUUCCUUGAAAUCUUGUUCCUCCACAUUCUCCCAAUAGUGAGUGUUAUUUAGAGAACGUAAUUACAACCUUUUUAUUCCUUGGCUCUACUGAAUGGUAUUUAUUCCGCUAAUUAUGCGGUCACCUAUGACUUUCUUCAGCACUGCAGUGGGUUUAGAAUAGUUAGCUAUUUGUUUUUAGCGGGUGCAGACUUGAGGGCCUGAGGGCCAAAGUGCCAUUUUUAUGCUGUAGAUCUCCUAACCAAAUAUACCGCACUUCAUUUUGUUGCCUUUAACUUUUCUGAACACCUUGCAGCAUGGAAUAUUUAACAGCCAAAUUCUGCCCUUCCUUCAGCCAGGUCUCCAUUAUUGCCACAACAUCAUAAUCCCCAAUAACAGUCUAUCUUUAAUUACCCAAACUUAUUGGCUAUAUACCAUCUAGAUACUUUCAAAUCAACUUGUUCAAAAAUAUUCUGACACACCUCUAGAACAGGCAACACUUGAACCCAGCUCUCCUGAUCAAAAAGUAUGGAAACUGCCACUGCAUCACAAGAACCCUUACUUGACGCACUCAUAUACAUGCAGCACAACUCAUUUAGAUUUGAGAACUUACUUUCUUACUCCAUCCAUUAACUUAUUCCUUUUAUUAUUUUCUAUUUUAGUGAUAUGUGUCUCAAGUAUGUUUAACAUCCAGGUAUUACACCCUAAUGUUCUCUCCCAAUUCCUGUAUUUUAGCUGAGUUACUUUAAACUCUUCCCAAUAGCAACAUCAAACAUAAACCUGUUGAACUAUCAAGAGACAGUUUUCAUAUGUUAAUACAAUGCACUUGCUGCUGUAUGGAAGCAGAAUGAUUUUGUGUUAAAAAUCAAAGCAGUAUGCUUUGAGAAUUUGUUUUCAAACACAAAGAAGGAGACAGAAACUUGAAGACUUGAAACUUGAAGGGGAAUAAGCAAUUGCUAAAACAGAGUUUCCUGGUUCAAGUUUAACAGGAAAACUUGGGAAGAAGAAAUGAGCCUGCUGGAAGGUCGGAAAUAAAAAGGGACUUAUUCUUUGUAAUACUGCACACCUUACAGAAAAAUGCAGUGCAUAGUGAAGAGUUGUAAUAUUUACCUUGAUGGCUUUAUUAAGCUACUGAUAAAGCGCCAUUUGGUUUUCUUUGCCUAUUAAGUAAUACUUACUUUAUGUUGCUUUUAAUUAUUUCAUAACAGUAAGUUUUAAAAAACAAACUUUUCUCCAUCAGUAACUCCUGCUGACUAUUGAGAAACUUUAUUUUGUUUUGGCUUUGGAGAAACUUGCAAUGUACUAAAUAUUUCUGUGAACAAUUUCUAUUAAUGAACUUUCUAAUGCAAAUUAACUGUCAUCAGAUUGAUUGCUGAAGCUCAUUUCUUCAAUCAUUAAUCAACACUAUGGAUUAUACUUUAUCAAGUUGUUCAAUUUGGAAAACCAGAUUUUCUUUGAAACCAAAAUGAACAUUUACCUGAGGCAUGUUUGCUUGGGUCAUGUUUGCAACAACUUGCCGAGUAACGUUGGUACUCCAGUAACCCCACCGGCACAGGUGGAAUCCCAGACUCCAAUAUGGUGGCAUUAUUGGAUAACCUGUAUGAGUUAUUUAGAGAAAAAGGAAAAAACAAUGGCAUUGCAUACAAUCACAGGCCAUUUCUUGAUCACCUUUCCUGAAAUAGAAUUAAUGGUAUGUAGUAUGCACCAUAAAUUAAAUUCGCCUUGGUCGGUACAAAUUCAAUAUGUUGUUUAAUAUAAAUAGCAAGCAGCGGCAAGUUUCAAUCUUACCAAUAACAUCCAUGUACUGUCUUAUCACUGUUUUUGGAUCUGGACCCAAGAACACAUAAAAAUCAAGGAUUCCUCCAAUUGUUCUCCAGGUCAGAGCAGGGGUUGGCUGAAGUAAUACGUCUGGAUAAACAAAAAAAAAGUUUUAAUUACCUUACCAGCAUACGCUUAUUAACCAUAUAGUUCCGUGUUUAAGUGGAAUUGAUAUGACAAUCCAUGAACUAAUGAAAAAAUAUUAAUAUACAGAGAGCUUGUGAUUUCCAAGCAUGGCAUAUGAUUAAAGGUUAACAACAUGCAACAUGAAUCUCAGCUCUCUCCCUACAGAUGCUAUCUGAAUGCCCAAGUAUUUCCAACACAUUUUCCUGAUCUUGCAGUGUUCAUAAAAAAAGCAAAAACUUUAUAUGCCAAAAACAAUCCUAAGUACAGCUUAUCAGACAAAAAUGCUCAUUUGCAGUUCAUCACCUGACAAGGUUUAGAUAUUUAACAGGUCCAGAUAGAGUUGUCCUACAUAUUAGAGGAAGGUAAUUUCUUACCCUUGGCAUUACUGUUGAACAGGAAAACACCAUGAGCUUUUCCAUCCUCUUCCAUCACCAUGUAGAAAGGGUGUGAGCCAUAUAAAUUGGCAUUUGGCUGCAACAAAUAGGCCAGUGUUAGUCAAAGUAUUACAUCCAAAACUUUCAACACUUCAAGUAUUGUUGGAGCAGCAAAUCACUGGGUGAGUGUGGGGUAUUUUAUAAUAAUUUUAUUUUGUAUGGCUUGUCCACAUUAAAUUUCUAGUUAAUGGUAACCCUCAGGAUGUUGAUGGUAGAGAAUUAUUUUUUAUUCAUUCAUGGGAUGUGGGUUCCAGGACAGCAUUUACAGCCCAUUAAUAACACUUCAGGAGGUCGCAGUGAGCUGCCACCUUGAAUUACAGUAGUCAAUUUCCUUCAGGAAUACUCACAAUGCUGUUGUUAGGGAAACCAUAAGACACAGGAGGAGCAGAAAUAGGUCAUUUGGCCUAUGAAGUCUGCUCCACCAUUCGACAAGAUCAUGGCUGCUCUGAUAAUCCUCGACUCCAUUUUCCUGCCUUUUCCCCCAUAAUCCACAAUUCCUUUAAUGAUUAAAAAUCCAUCCACCUCAGCCUUUAAUAUAUUUCAUGACCCAGCCUUUCUCCGCAAUCAAGAAUUCCACAGAUUCAUACCCUCAAAACAAAAAUCUUCCACAUUUCACUUUGAAAUGCAUGACCCCUUACCCAGAAGAUAUGCUCACUGGUCCUUGAAUCCUCCACAAUGAGAAAAAAGUUCUCCAGGUGUUAUCAACCUCCCCCCGCCAAAAAAAAUCUUAUGUUUCAAUAAGGUCUACUGGUCAAUCUUCUCAACUCCACAUGACCUAGUGGUAUUAAUUGCUAGACUAUUAAUCAAGAGAUCCAGGUAAUGU